CCAAGUGCGCCGCAUCCACACCACGGAACACCGCUCAGUCUAAAAAAGAACAAAGUCUGACACACGUGGCAACUUGGACGAGACUCCAGGGAAUUAUGCUGAGUGAAAAAAGCCAGCCCAAGGGUCACACACUCGAGGAUCCAGUGUAUACAACACUUUUGAAAUGACAAUCACAGAAAUGGAGACAGGCCCUGAGUUAGGCCCAGAGCACUGGGAGGAAGAGGAGCACUCCUAUGGUCACAUAAACUCAGUCAUCAUAAAUGGAACGGACCUUAACAUGCCCUCAUCACUGGGUCCCCAUCUGCCCGCCACGGGAACUUCCGAGAGCACCCCCAGCCUUUUCCUGCACGGCCUCUGGAGCUCAGGGUCUAAAUCGGUCAAAAUCACGUCUCCUGCAUGUCAGAAAGUCCUAGAAGACAGCAACACAAAGCAGCACAGCCUCUUUGCACAGGAUGCAUAAAGGCUGGUUUA